rnacentral:rRNA from 1 species
AUAACAAUACAGGACUCUUUAGAGGCCCUGUAAUUGUAAUGAGUCCACUUGAAAUCCUUUAACUCUGAUCAAUUGGAGGGCAAGUCUGGUGAAGAGCGACUGACCCGUGAGUGCUGCAGCUGAAACCCCGCUAUCGCCUGCUGCUGCUCGCUCAGUCUCUCCAG